rnacentral:rRNA from 1 species
AGUGAACGCUGGCGGUAGGCCUAACACAUGCAAGUCGAACGGCAGCACAGGAGAGCUUGCUCUCUGGGUGGCGAGUGGCGGACGGGUGAGGAAUACAUCGGAAUCUACUUUUUCGUGGGGGAUAACGUAGGGAAACUUACGCUAAUACCGCAUACGACCUACGGGUGAAAGCAGGGGACCUUCGGGCCUUGCGCGAUUGAAUGAGCCGAUGUCGGAUUAGCUAGUUGGCGGGGUAAAGGCCCACCAAGGCGACGAUCCGUAGCUGGUCUGAGAGGAUGAUCAGCCACAAGGGAACUGAGACACGGUCCAGACUCCUACGGGAGGCGGCAGUGGGGAAUAUUGGACAAUGGGCGCAAGCCUGAUCCAGCCAUACCGCGUGGGUGAAGAAGGCCUUCGGGUUGUAAAGCCCUUUUGUUGGGAAAGAAAUCCAGCUGGCUAAUACCCGGUUGGGAUGACGGUACCCAAAGAAUAAGCACCGGCUAACUUCGUGCCAGCAGCCGCGGUAA